UAUGGCCACAUCAUGUUGAAACACCAGUUCCUGUAUGAUCAAGGAAGUUAAGCAAUGUUGAAUCUGGUUAAUACCUAAAUGGGUGACUGCUUGGGAAUACCAGGUGCUAUA